UGAAUACGAGACGCUACGGCGUCGAAGCAGUCGAUGUCAUACUUCCAAGAAAAGCUUGCACUGUCAUAAACAAAGAAUGCCUGUACCAUAACCGACACAGGUGGGUAGGUAGAGUAUACUAAGGGGCGCGAGAUAACUCUCUCUAAGGAACUCGGCAAAAUGACUCCGUAACUUCGGGAGAAGGAGUGCCUUAUUUAUAAGGUUGCAAUAACAAGAUCCAAGCAACUGUUUACCAAAAACACAGGUCUCCGCUAAGUCGUAAGACGAUGUAUGGGGGCUGACGCCUGCCCAGUGCCAGAAGGUUAAAGAAGUUGGUUAGCAUUUGCGAAGCUGAUAACUGAAGCCCUGGUGAACGGCGGCCGUAACGAUAACGGUCCUAAGGUAGCGAAAUUCCUUGUCGGGUAAGUUCCGACCCGCACGAAAGGCGUAAUGAUUUGGAUACUGUCUCAGAGAGGGGCUCGGUGAAAUAGACUUGUCUGUGAAGAUGCGGACUACCUGCACCAGGACAGAAAGACCCUAUGAAGCUUUACUGUAACCUGAAAUUGAAAUUGGACUUUAUUUGCGCAGUAUAGGUGGGAGGCGUUGAGAAUUUUCUUGCGGGAAGAUUGGAGCCAUCAGUGAGAUACCACUCUUGUAAUGUUAGAUUUCUAACUUUGAAUCAUGAUCUGGUCAAAGAACAGUUUCAGGCGGGCAGUUUGACUGGGGCGGUCGCCUCCCAAAUGGUAACGGAGGCGCACAAAGGUUUCCUCUGAACGGGUAGAAAUCGUAUCUAGAGUGUAAAGGCAUAAGGAAGCUUGACUGUGAGACCUACAAGUCGAGCAGGGACGAAAGUCGGUCUUAGUGAUCUGACGGUGCUGAGUGGAAAGGCCGUCACUCAACGGAUAAAAGUUACUCUAGGAUAACAGGCUGAUCUCCCCCAAGAGUUCACAUCGACGGGGAGGUUUGGCACCUCGAUGUCGGCUCAUCGCAUCCUGGGGCGGUAGUACGUCCCAAGGGUUGGGCUGUUCGCCCAUGAAAGCGGUACGCGAGCUGGGUUCAGAACGUCGUGAGACAGUUCGGUCCAUAUCCGGUGUAGGCGUUAGAAUAUUGAGAGGAGCCUUCUUUAGUACGAGAGGACCGAGAAGGACAUACCUCUGGUGUACCAGUUAUCGUGCCAACGGUAAACGCUGGGUAGCUAUGUAUGGAGAGGAUAACCGCUGAAAGCAUCUAAGUGGGAAGCCCACCUCAAGAUAAGUAUUCC
rnacentral:rRNA from 1 species